AGUAUGUGUUGUGCGCUAAUUUUGGUUGUCCACCUGUGCUACAUGAUCUUCACAGAGUAGCAGGGUGUAGCAGAAUCAGUGGAGCUCUUAGACAGGAGCAGCUGCGUCAAAUGCUAUGGUUCCAACUUUGACUUUAUUUUCGAACAAGAGGUGGGGUGGUGGCUGUUCUUUGAUGCCGAGCCGCUGAAGUGUGGCUUCAGGAGGAAGGGCGUAACAGCGCAACGGAGUGUCAGUCUUCUAGUUAUUGCAGUUACAUGCACAUGCACAUUCCCAAGUACCAACUACCGACAGACAUGUCUUGAGUAACAAGCAUGUUAUUCUGAAGCUGCCUGGCACUCCUGUACUAAUAGAAAUUUGUUUAUAUUUCUGUCCACGACUUCACCAGCAAGGUGCAAUUUAGAAGGAAAAAUUGAGAACUUCCAACUUAGGUAUGUCCGAUAGUCUUAUGUCAGCCGUCUGUAAGACUUGCUAGUUAGGAAAGAAGAAAAGAGAGCAAUAGUCUUUCUGUAGUUGUAUGCACACUCUACGAUUUUAUAGACAAAUUGCUGAUGGCGUUUUUGCUCUUGUCA